GUUUGCUUUGUCAGCAUAUAUAUAUUAAAAUGGAAACAAUACAGAAAAAAUUAGCAUGAACACUGUGCCACGAUGACAUUCAAAUUUAAGAAGCAUUGCACAAAAAU
ensembl:snRNA U6 U6 spliceosomal RNA